UACGGGAGGGGGUUAGCGUUGUUCGGAAUGACUGGGCGUAAAGCGCGCGUAGGCGGACCUGCAAGUCGGGGGUGAAAUCCCGGGGCUCAACCCUGGAAUGGCCUUCGAGACUGCCGGUCUUGAGUUCGAGAGAGGUGGGUGGAAUUCCGAGUGUAGAGGUGAAAUUCGUAGAUAUUCGGAGGAACACCAGUGGCGAAGGCGGCCCACUGGCUCGAUACUGACGCUGAGGUGCGAAAGCGUGGGGAGCAAACAGG
rnacentral:rRNA from 1 species